rnacentral:rRNA from 1 species
CGGAGGUACUCGAGUGGCGAACGGGUGAGUAACACGUGGGUGAUCUGCCCUGCACUCUGGGAUAAGCCUGGGAAACUGGGUCUAAUACCGGAUAGGACCAUGCUUUAGUGUGUGUGGUGGAAAGUUUUUUCGGUGUAGGAUGAGCCCGCGGCCUAUCAGCUUGUUGGUGGGGUAAUGGCCUACCAAGGCGGCGACGGGUAGCCGGACUGAGAGGUUGGUCGGCCACAUUGGGACUGAGAUACGGCCCAGACUCCUACGGGAGGCAGCAGUGGGGAAUAUUGCACAAUGGGCGCAAGCCUGAUGCAGCGACGCCGCGUGGGGGAUGACGGCCUUCGGGUUGUAAACUCCUUUCGCCAGGGACGAAGCGUUUUGUGACGGUACCUGGAGAAGAAGCACCGGCUAACUACGUGCCAGCAGCCGCGGUAAUACGUAGGGUGCAAGCGUUGUCCGGAAUUACUGGGCGUAAAGAGCUCGUAGGUGGUUUGUCACGUCGUCUGUGAAAUUCCACAGCUUAACUGUGGGCGUGCAGGCGAUACGGGCUGACUUGAGUACUGUAGGGGUAACUGGAAUUCCUGGUGUAGCGGUGAAAUGCGCAGAUAUCAGGAGGAACACCGAUGGCGAAGGCAGGUUACUGGGCAGUUACUGACGCUGAGGAGCGAAAGCAUGGGUAGCAAACAGGAUUAGAUACCCUGGUAGUCCAUGCCGUAAACGGUGGGCGCUAGGUGUAGGGACCUUUUGGGGUUUCUGUGCCGUAGCUAACGCAUUAAGCGCCCCGCCUGGGGAGUACGCCGCAAGGCUA